AUUCCAGCUCCAAUAGCGUAUACUAAAGUUGUUGCAGUUAAAAAGCUCGUAGUCGAAUGUAGGUUUUGUUACUACGCGAUCUCUUGGGUGUAACUUGAGUGGACUGCGUGUAACAACCUUCCCGGAUAUAACAGAGGUAGUCUGGGUAAUCUCAGGUUAUGUCUUGUUAUAUGCAUUACUGUGAACAAAAUAGAGUGUUCAUGGCAGGCCAAUUUAGGCUUGGAUACCUCAGCAUGGAAUAAUAGAAUAGGACUUCUGGUUCUAUUUUGUUGGUUUUUGGAGCCGAAGUAAUGAAUAAUAGGGAUAGUUGGGGGCACUCGUACUCCGUUGUCAGAGGUGAAAUUCUUGGAUUGACGGAAGACGAACAGCUGCGAAAGCAUCUGCCAAGGAUGUUUUCAUUA
rnacentral:rRNA from 1 species